AACGAACGCUGGCGGCAUGCCUAACACAUGCAAGUCGAACGAGACCUUCGGGUCUAGUGGCGCACGGGUGCGUAACGCGUGGGAACCUGCCCUUAGGUUCGGAAUAACUCCCCGAAAGGGGUGCUAAUACCGGAUAAUGUCUUCGGACCAAAGAUUUAUCGCCUUUGGAUGGGCCCGCGUUGGAUUAGCUAGUUGGUAGGGUAAACGCCUACCAAGGCGACGAUCCAUAGCUGGUCUGAGAGGAUGAUCAGCCACACUGGGACUGAGACACGGCCCAGACUCCUACGGGAGGCAGCAGUGGGGAAUAUUGGACAAUGGGCGAAAGCCUGAUGCAGCAAUGCCGCGUGAGUGAUGAAGGCCUUAGGGUUGUAAAGCUCUUUUACCCGGGAUGAUAAUGACAGUACCGGGAGAAUAAGCUCCGGCUAACUCCGUG
rnacentral:rRNA from 1 species